GUCGUGACUGCGUGCCUUUUGAAGAAUGAGCCUGCGAGUUAGCGGUGUGUAGCGAGGUUAACCCGUGUGGGGAAGCCGUAGCGAAAGCGAGUCCGAAUAGGGCGUUUGAGUUGCACGCUCUAGACCCGAAGCGGAGUGAUCUAGCCAUGGGCAGGUUGAAGCGGAGGUAAGACUUCGUGGAGGACCGAACCCACCAGGGUUGAAAACCUGGGGGAUGACCUGUGGUUAGGGGUGAAAGGCCAAUCAAACUCCGUGAUAGCUGGUUCUCCCCGAAAUGCAUUUAGGUGCAGCGUCGUGUGUUUCUUGCCGGAGGUAGAGCACUGGAUAGGCGAUGGGCCCUACCGGGUUACUGACCUUAGCCAAACUCCGAAUGCCGGUAAGUGAGAGCGCGGCAGUGAGACUGUGGGGGAUAAGCUCCAUGGUCGAGAGGGAAACAGCCCAGAGCAUCGACUAAGGCCCCUAAGCGUACGCUAAGUGGGAAAGGAUGUGGAGUCGCAGAGACAACCAGGAGGUUGGCUUAGAAGCAGCCACCCUUGAAAGAGUGCGUAAUAGCUCACUGGUCAAGUGAUUCCGCGCCGACAAUGUAGCGGGGCUCAAGCGUACCGCCGAAGUCGUGUCAUUCAUACACAUAUCCUCAACGGGAGUAUGGAUGGGUAGGGGAGCGUCGUGUGCCGGGUGAAGCAGCCGCGGAAGCGAGUUGUGGACGGUUCACGAGUGAGAAUGCAGGCAUGAGUAGCGAUACACACGUGAGAAACGUGUGCGCCGAUUGACUAAGGGUUCCUGGGUCAAGCUGAUCUGCCCAGGGUAAGUCGGGACCUAAGGCGAGGCCGACAGGCGUAGUCGAUGGACAACCGGUUGAUAUUCCGGUACCCGCUUUGAAACGCCCAGUACUGAAUCAGGCGAUGCUAAGUCCGUGAAGCCGGCCCGAUCUCUUCGGAGUUGAGGGUAGUGGUGGAGCCGAUGAACCAGACUUGUAGUAGGUAAGCGAUGGGGUGACGCAGGAAGGUAGUCCAGCCCGGGCGGUGGUUGUCCCGGGGUAAGGGUGUAGGACGCACGGUAGGCAAAUCCGUCGUGCAUAUAGUCUGAGACCUGAUGCCGAGCCGAUUGUGGUGAAGUGGAUGAUCCUAUGCUGUCGAGAAAAGCCUCUAGCGAGUUUCAUGGCGGCCCGUACCCUAAACCGACUCAGGUAGUCAGGUAGAGAAUACCGAGGCGUUCGGGUGAACUAUGGUUAAGGAACUCGGCAAAAUGCCCCCGUAACUUCGGGAGAAGGGGGGCCAUCACUGGUGAGGGGACUUGCUUCCUGAGCUGGGGGUGGCCGCAGAGACCAGCGAGAAGCGACUGUUUACUAAAAACACAGGUCCGUGCGAAGCCGUAAGGCGAUGUAUACGGACUGACGCCUGCCCGGUGCUGGAACGUUAAGGGGACCGGUUAGU
rnacentral:rRNA from 2 species